GGUCCGUUGGCCCAAUGGCAAGGCGUCUGACUACGAUUCGCAUCUAGAGCACCUAGCAAUAGAGCGAUGAGUUGACAUCAGGAGAUUGCAGGUUCGAUCCCUGCACGGAUCA
rfam:Valsa mali var. pyri strain SXYL134 unplaced genomic scaffold scaffold00010, whole genome shotgun sequence.